rnacentral:misc_RNA from 1 species
GUGUGAACUCAAAACGGAACAAUGGUACCUUACAAGAGAAAUGCUUUGGUGAGUGUCAUGAGUCCCGUCCCAUGUACUUCUGUUUAGGCUUAAUUAACAUGCUCAUAUAUGGCGCUAGGUUACAUGAAAAUGAAAGACAACGUAGAUGCAAAUUACACUUUUCCAUUGAAUUCUUUCUGCCAACAGCACAUCACAGACGACUAUAAAGGUUCAUGUUAGGAUCCGUUCCUAACAUGAACCUAAGGGGUUUGGUUUUCCCAGGAAGACAAGCUAUCACACUGACUAAACAGUACAUAAAUGACCUUAUCCGGUCCAUAUUUCCAAUUUAAAAGCAGAAAGGGACCAGACUCUAAGAUGGGAGUGGCAUUUUGGAACUCCCAACAAUCUACAAACUCGUGUAUAAAUAUGCUAUCUUCACAGAGUCCCCUUCGGCACCCCCAAAAUUUAGAGUACUACCUAAUGAACGUGUAUCAGGAGUUUUCCUUGACAACAUUCACCAACCAAACUACUACCUCCUAUUUCCUUUGCUUCACAGUUUAUUCUUACCUCACUAGCCUUUUCCUCAUGGGUGUACACUAAGUUACGCAACAUCUGAACAACUUUUCUUUUUUUUACUGUUCAAUUCUGAGUAGGUGUACAAUGUGCUUCUACAGACAACCGCUUCAGUACGUUGGGGCAGGGAUCUUCUCCAAAGUUGCUAUUUGAUAUUGUCACAGCACAUGUUUGGCGUCCUAGACAUUUCUUUUCUACAACGGCGUGUGAGUCGGGAGCAUGGCAAGUUCCUUGCUUGAAGCUCCCACAGGUUCCGAGAGGAGUUCCGAAGCUUGCAAAUUUAAUGGAGGAAAUAGAUUGACCAGGAGCACAGUGAAUGCGAACUUUGGGUAGGUGAAACUCUUCGGUUUUGCCGUAGUUCUCAAUUUGCCAGUUCUUAAUGUUUGGAUGAUAUUCAGCUACAUUCGAACAUACGUUAGUGACUGAUCUUUUCACGAGAGAAAUUCUUGUGGGAUCUCCGCCAAGUUCUUCAAAAAGCACCAACAGAUUUUGAGUGGGUUUUAACCAAGACCGAGGAACAUGGUACCAUUUUUGAGUUGGUUCCCCACAUCCCAGUUGACAUUUUGGAGGCCGAAAAACUCCAGAAUAUUGGCACCCAUUGCAAUCUCCAGUAGCAUAUGCAGUCCAAUAUCUACCAAUACUCUGGCCAUUAAUCCAUACUUGACCUUUACCCAUACUGCUCAUGUCCAAAGCCAAUGGCUCAUCUCCUUCGGGUGUAUUGAAGUAAGCCUUAUGCCAUGUCAAGGGUUGUUGUUUCUGUGCAAUUAAUGAACCUUGCAUCCAGUCAACGGCAGAAAUACCAUUUGUCGAAACAAGAUUCAUGGCCUCCCCUUUAAGCCCAACCUGAUAUGUCCACUUUGCCCAGGACAAGUCCCAUUUUCCAUGGUCAAGUCCUUGAAUUGCAACAGGACCUAGUACGCCAGUGCUCCAUGUUUCAAAAUGUCCACCAAUGUUCGGCAGCCCGACAGCCACGCUAAGCAGUGCAAUUCUGUUUGAGCCAGCACGAAGAUUGACUUUUCCUUUAAAUACAAAUCUCCUAUUCUUCCUUGUCCCAAAUGCAGAACCUGAGAGCUGACCAUUAAUAAACACAUGCAUAGCAUGGCCUGUUGUCUCAACUAUAAGAGUAGGGAGCUCUCCACCAUGCAAGAAGGACUCAGUUGAACCAAUAUCAACACUAGUUAUGUACCACAAAUAAUCACUUGUAUCUCUGGUUACAUUUAUUUGCUCCAAGAGACCAAAAGACCUAAUUGAUGAGCUGUCAUCUAAUGCAGAUAUAUCUUCACUGUAAGUCUCCCAAGAUAGCAUCUCUGAGUUAGUCGGUAGCAUUUCCAUCUUUGAUGUUUGAACUCCAACUUUGGCCGUGUUGAAGACUACAUUUCUGCAAUCAGGAAGGAUGCUAAUGGACCAAGGAGGCAAAUUAUAGUGCAUAUUAUUGAACAUUACUCUAGCAGCAGAUUUCCAGUCAUUGUUUGACAAGAAAGCUGCACAACCCCCUGUCUCUGAAGAGUACACAUAUGCUUGUUGAAGGUUUCCCAAGGAUGUGAUUGCUGGAUCUGCAGAAACUAUGGAUUUCUCACACAUCUUGACAGCUCUAUGAAGCUCCUUGAGAUGACCAUAUUUUGGCUGUCUGAUCAAACCAUACUCAUCAAUUGGAGCAUCA